GCGACCCCAGGAUGGGCGGGGACA
rnacentral:rRNA from 1 species